rnacentral:rRNA from 1 species
GGUUAAGCGACUAAGCGUACACGGUGGAUGCCCUGGCAGUCAGAGGCGAUGAAGGACGUGCUAAUCUGCGAUAAGCGUCGGUAAGGUGAUAUGAACCGUUAUAACCGGCGAUUUCCGAAUGGGGAAACCCAGUGUGAUUCGUCACACUAUCAUUAACUGAAUCCAUAGGUUAAUGAGGCGAACCGGGGGAACUGAAACAUCUAAGUACCCCGAGGAAAAGAAAUCAACCGAGAUUCCCCCAGUAGCGGCGAGCGAACGGGGAGCAGCCCAGAGCCUGAAUCAGUGUGUGUGUUAGUGGAAGCGUCUGGAAAGGCGUGCGAUACAGGGUGACAGCCCCGUACACAAAAAUGCACAUACUGUGAGCUCGAUGAGUAGGGCGGGACACGUGGUAUCCUGUCUGAAUAUGGGGGGACCAUCCUCCAAGGCUAAAUACUCCUGACUGACCGAUAGUGAACCAGUACCGUGAGGGAAAGGCGAAAAGAACCCCGGCGAGGGGAGUGAAAAAGAACCUGAAACCGUGUACGUACAAGCAGUGGGAGCACGCUUAGGCGUGUGACUGCGUACCUUUUGUAUAAUGGGUCAGCGACUUAUAUUCUGUAGCAAGGUUAACCGAAUAGGGGAGCCGAAGGGAAACCGAGUCUUAACUGGGCGUUAAGUUGCAGGGUAUAGACCCGAAACCCGGUGAUCUAGCCAUGGGCAGGUUGAAGGUUGGGUAACACUAACUGGAGGACCGAACCGACUAAUGUUGAAAAAUUAGCGGAUGACUUGUGGCUGGGGGUGAAAGGCCAAUCAAACCGGGAGAUAGCUGGUUCUCCCCGAAAGCUAUUUAGGUAGCGCCUCGUGAAUUCAUCUCCGGGGGUAGAGCACUGUUUCGGCAAGGGGGUCAUCCCGACUUACCAACCCGAUGCAAACUGCGAAUACCGGAGAAUGUUAUCACGGGAGACACACGGCGGGUGCUAACGUCCGUCGUGAAGAGGGAAACAACCCAGACCGCCAGCUAAGGUCCCAAAGUCAUGGUUAAGUGGGAAACGAUGUGGGAAGGCCCAGACAGCCAGGAUGUUGGCUUAGAAGCAGCCAUCAUUUAAAGAAAGCGUAAUAGCUCACUGGUCGAGUCGGCCUGCGCGGAAGAUGUAACGGGGCUAAACCAUGCACCGAAGCUGCGGCAGCGACGCUGAUGCGUUGUUGGGUAGGGGAGCGUUCUGUAAGCCUGUGAAGGUGUACUGUGAGGUAUGCUGGAGGUAUCAGAAGUGCGAAUGCUGACAUAAGUAACGAUAAAGCGGGUGAAAAGCCCGCUCGCCGGAAGACCAAGGGUUCCUGUCCAACGUUAAUCGGGGCAGGGUGAGUCGACCCCUAAGGCGAGGCCGAAAGGCGUAGUCGAUGGGAAACAGGUUAAUAUUCCUGUACUUGGUGUUACUGCGAAGGGGGGACGGAGAAGGCUAUGUUGGCCGGGCGACGGUUGUCCCGGUUUAAGCGUGUAGGCUGGUUUUCCAGGCAAAUCCGGAAAAUCAAGGCUGAGGCGUGAUGACGAGGCACUACGGUGCUGAAGCAACAAAUGCCCUGCUUCCAGGAAAAGCCUCUAAGCAUCAGGUAACAUCAAAUCGUACCCCAAACCGACACAGGUGGUCAGGUAGAGAAUACCAAGGCGCUUGAGAGAACUCGGGUGAAGGAACUAGGCAAAAUGGUGCCGUAACUUCGGGAGAAGGCACGCUGAUAUGUAGGUGAAGUCCCUCGCGGAUGGAGCUGAAAUCAGUCGAAGAUACCAGCUGGCUGCAACUGUUUAUUAAAAACACAGCACUGUGCAAACACGAAAGUGGACGUAUACGGUGUGACGCCUGCCCGGUGCCGGAAGGUUAAUUGAUGGGGUUAGCGCAAGCGAAGCUCUUGAUCGAAGCCCCGGUAAACGGCGGCCGUAACUAUAACGGUCCUAAGGUAGCGAAAUUCCUUGUCGGGUAAGUUCCGACCUGCACGAAUGGCGUAAUGAUGGCCAGGCUGUCUCCACCCGAGACUCAGUGAAAUUGAACUCGCUGUGAAGAUGCAGUGUACCCGCGGCAAGACGGAAAGACCCCGUGAACCUUUACUAUAGCUUGACACUGAACAUUGAGCCUUGAUGUGUAGGAUAGGUGGGAGGCUUUGAAGUGUGGACGCCAGUCUGCAUGGAGCCGACCUUGAAAUACCACCCUUUAAUGUUUGAUGUUCUAACGUUGACCCGUGAUCCGGGUUGCGGACAGUGUCUGGUGGGUAGUUUGACUGGGGCGGUCUCCUCCUAAAGAGUAACGGAGGAGCACGAAGGUUGGCUAAUCCUGGUCGGACAUCAGGAGGUUAGUGCAAUGGCAUAAGCCAGCUUGACUGCGAGCGUGACGGCGCGAGCAGGUGCGAAAGCAGGUCAUAGUGAUCCGGUGGUUCUGAAUGGAAGGGCCAUCGCUCAACGGAUAAAAGGUACUCCGGGGAUAACAGGCUGAUACCGCCCAAGAGUUCAUAUCGACGGCGGUGUUUGGCACCUCGAUGUCGGCUCAUCACAUCCUGGGGCUGAAGUAGGUCCCAAGGGUAUGGCUGUUCGCCAUUUAAAGUGGUACGCGAGCUGGGUUUAGAACGUCGUGAGACAGUUCGGUCCCUAUCUGCCGUGGGCGCUGGAGAACUGAGGGGGGCUGCUCCUAGUACGAGAGGACCGGAGUGGACGCAUCACUGGUGUUCGGGUUGUCAUGCCAAUGGCACUGCCCGGUAGCUAAAUGCGGAAGAGAUAAGUGCUGAAAGCAUCUAAGCACGAAACUUGCCCCGAGAUGAGUUCUCCCUGACUCCUUGAGAGUCCUGAAGGAACGUUGAAGACGACGACGUUGAUAGGCCGGGUGUGUAAGCGCAGCGAUGCGUUGAGCUAACCGGUACUAAUGAACCGUGAGGCUUAACCUU